AUGGCUGUCGUCAGCUCGUGUCGUGAGAUGUUCCGGUUAAGUCCGCUAACGAGCGCAGCCCUCGUCGUAUGUUAUAUGUGUCAUACGAGACUGCCGGUAAAAAAGCCGGAGGAAGGUGAGGAUGAUGUCAAGUCAGCAUGACCUUUAUAUCCAGGGCUACACACACGCUACAAUGGUCUGUACAAUGGGUAGCCAAGCCGCGAGGCGGAGCCAAUCCUGAAAGCAGGCCUCAGUUCAGAUUGCAGUCUGCAACUCGACUGCAUGAAGCCGGAGUUGCUAGUAACCGCAGGUCAGCAAUACUGCGGUGAAUACGUUCCCGGGUCUU
rnacentral:rRNA from 1 species